UACAGAGGUCCCAAGCGUUGUUCGGAAUUACUGGGCGUAAAGGGCUCGUAGGCGGCCAACUAAGUCAGACGUGAAAUCCCCUCGGCUUAACCGGGGAACUGCGUCUGAUACUGGAUGGCUCGAGUUUGGGAGAGGGAUGCGGAAUUCCAGGUGUAGCGGUGAAAUGCGUAGAUAUCGUAAGGAAGACCAGUGGCGAAGGCGGGUCUCUGGACAGUUCCUGACGCUGAGGCACGAAGGUCAGGGGAGCAAACGGG
rnacentral:rRNA from 1 species